rnacentral:rRNA from 1 species
GACGAACCGAGCGAACGUUAUUCGGAAUCACUGGCUUAAAGGGCGCGUAGGCGGGCGGCCAAGUCAGGGGUGAAAGCCCCCAGCUCAACUGGGGAAGUGCCUCUGAUACUGGCCAUCUUGAGCGAGGUAGGGGCGUGCGGAACUUCCGGUGGAGCGGUGAAAUGCGUAGAUAUCGGAAGGAACACCGGUGGCGAAAGCGGCGCGCUGGGACGUGGCUGACGCUGAGGCGCGACAGCG